UACGUAGGGUGCGAGCGUUGUCCGGAAUUAUUGGGCGUAAAGAGCUCGUAGGCGGUCUGUCGCGUCGAUCGUGAAAACUUGGGGCUUAACCCUGAGCUUGCGGUCGAUACGGGCAUGACUGGAGUUCGGCAGGGGAGACUGGAAUUCCUGGUGUAGCGGUGAAAUGCGCAGAUAUCAGGAGGAACACCGGUGGCGAAGGCGGAUCUCUGGGCCUUACCUGACGCUGAGGCGCGAAAGCUAGGGGAGCGAACAGG
rnacentral:rRNA from 1 species